UACGUAGGGCGCAAGCGUUGUCCGGAAUUAUUGGGCGUAAAGAGCUCGUAGGCGGCUUGUCACGUCGAUUGUGAAAGCCCGAGGCUUAAACCUCGGGUCUGCAGUCGAUACGGGCUAGCUAGAGUGUGGUAGGGGAGAUCGAAUUCCUGGUGUAGCGGUGAAAUGCGCAGAUAUCAGGAGGAACACCGGUGGCGAAGGCGGAUCUCUGGGCCAUUACUGACGCUGAGGAGCGAAAGCGUGGGGAGCGAACAGG
rnacentral:rRNA from 1 species